ACCUGGUUGAUCCUGCCAGGUGCGACCGCUAUUGGAGUUCGAUUAAGCCAUGCGAGUAGAAAGAAAUUAGAUUCUUUGCAUACUGCUCAGUAACACGUGGAUAACCUGCCCUACACUGGGGGAUAAUCUCGGGAAACUGAGGAUAAUACCCCAUAGACCACUACGCCUGGAACGGUGAGUGGUUGAAAGCUCAGGCGGUGUAGGAUGGGUCUGCGGCGUAUCAGGUCGUAGGGGGUGUAAUGGACCUCCUAGCCAUCGACGCGUACGGGUUGUGGGAGCAAUAGCCCGGAGACGGAUUCUGAGACACGAAUCCGGACCCUACGGGGUGCAGCAGGCGCGAAAACUUCACACUGCAGGAAACUGUGAUGAGGGAACUCCAAGUGACUGCACAUUGUGUAGCCUUUUCUUGAAUCUUAAUAGUUCUUGGAAUAAGGGCUGGGAAAGACCGGUGCCAGCCGCCGCGGUAAUACCGGCAGCUCGAGUGGUCGUCGCUUUUAUUGGGCCUAAAACGUCCGUAGCCUGUUUGGUAAAUCUGUGGGUAAAU
rnacentral:rRNA from 1 species